rnacentral:rRNA from 2 species
AAUCCAUAGGUUAAUGAGGCGAACCGGGGGAACUGAAACAUCUAAGUACCCCGAGGAAAAGAAAUCAACCGAGAUUCCCCCAGUAGCGGCGAGCGAACGGGGAGGAGCCCAGAGCCUGAAUCAGCAUGUGUGUUAGUGGAAGCGUCUGGAAAGGCGCGCGAUACAGGGUGACAGCCCCGUACACAAAAGCGCAUGUGCUGUGAGCUCGAUGAGUAGGGCGGGACACGUGGUAUCCUGUCUGAAUAUGGGGGGACCAUCCUCCAAGGCUAAAUACUCCUGACUGACCGAUAGUGAACCAGUACCGUGAGGGAAAGGCGAAAAGAACCCCGGCGAGGGGAGUGAAAAAGAACCUGAAACCGUGUACGUACAAGCAGUGGGAGCCCCACCACCAAAGCAUUUGCUGUACCGCGUUGACGGAGCGAAGCGACGUCAAACCGAUAAAACAGCAGUGUAAAGUGAGCCGCAGGGCGCUUUGCGCGACAGCGCAAAGGCAGGCGGUUUCGCGUAGCGAAAGCGAAUGCUUUGGGGUGGGGUGACUGCGUACCUUUUGUAUAAUGGGUCAGCGACUUAUAUUCUGUAGCAAGGUUAACCGAAUAGGGGAGCCGGAGGGAAACCGAGUCUUAAUUGGGCGUUAAGUUGCAGGGUAUAGACCCGAAACCCGGUGAUCUAGCCAUGGGCAGGUUGAAGGUUGGGUAACACUAACUGGAGGACCGAACCGACUAAUGUUGAAAAAUUAGCGGAUGACCUGUGGCUGGGGGUGAAAGGCCAAUCAAACCGGGAGAUAGCUGGUUCUCCCCGAAAGCUAUUUAGGUAGCGCCUCGUGAAUUCAUCUCCGGGGGUAGAGCACUGUUUCGGCUAGGGGGCCAUCCCGGCUUACCAACCCGAUGCAAACUGCGAAUACCGGAGAAUGUUAUCACGGGAGACACACGGCGGGUGCUAACGUCCGUCGUGAAGAGGGAAACAACCCAGACCGCCAGCUAAGGUCCCAAAGUCAUGGUUAAGUGGGAAACGAUGUGGGAAGGCCCAGACAGCCAGGAUGUUGGCUUAGAAGCAGCCAUCAUUUAAAGAAAGCGUAAUAGCUCACUGGUCGAGUCGGCCUGCGCGGAAGAUGUAACGGGGCUAAACCAUGCACCGAAGCUGCGGCAGCGACACUGUG